rnacentral:rRNA from 1 species
CCUGAUCCAGCAGUGCCGCGUGCAGGAAGAAGGCCUUCGGGUUGUAAACUGCUUUUGUACGGAACGAAACGGUGCUCUUUAAUAAAGAGUGCUAAUGACGGUACCGUAAGAAUAAGCACCGGCUAACUACGUGCCAGCAGCCGCGGUAAUACGUAGGGUGCGAGCGUUAAUCGGAAUUACUGGGCGUAAAGCGUGCGCAGGCGGUUAUAUAAGACAGUUGUGAAAUCCCUGGGCUCAACCUAGGAAUUGCAUCUGUGACUGUAUAGCUAGAGUACGGUAGAGGGGGAUGGAAUUCCGCGUGUAGCAGUGAAAUGCGUAGAUAUGCGGAGGAACACCGAUGGCGAAGGCAAUCCCCUGGACCUGUACUGACGCUCAUGCACGAAAGCGUGGGGAGCAAACAGGAUUAGAUACCCUGGUAGUCCACGCCCUAAACGAUGUCAACUGGUUGUUGGGUGCAUUAGUACUCAGUAACGAAGCUAACGCGUGAAGUUGACCGCCUGGGGAGUACGGCCGCAAGGUUGAAACUCAAAUGAAUUGACGGGGA